rnacentral:rRNA from 1 species
GACGAUGAAGCCCCUUCGGGGGUGGAUUAGUGGCGAACGGGUGAGUAACACGUGGGCAAUCUGCCCUGCACUCUGGGACAAGCCCUGGAAACGGGGUCUAAUACCGGAUACGACCAUCUGACGCAUGUCAUGGGGGUGGAAAGCUCCGGCGGUGCAGGAUGAGCCCGCGGCCUAUCAGCUUGUUGGUGAGGUAACGGCUCACCAAGGCGACGACGGGUAGCCGGCCUGAGAGGGCGACCGGCCACACUGGGACUGAGACACGGCCCAGACUCCUACGGGAGGCAGCAGUGGGGAAUAUUGCACAAUGGGCGCAAGCCUGAUGCAGCGACGCCGCGUGAGGGAUGACGGCCUUCGGGUUGUAAACCUCUUUCAGCAGGGAAGAAGCGUAAGUGACGGUACCUGCAGAAGAAGCGCCGGCUAACUACGUGCCAGCAGCCGCGGUAAUACGUAGGGCGCAAGCGUUGUCCGGAAUUAUUGGGCGUAAAGAGCUCGUAGGCGGCUUGUCGCGUCGGUUGUGAAAGCCCGGGGCUUAACUCCGGGUCUGCAGUCGAUACGGGCAGGCUAGAGUUCGGUAGGGGAGAUCGGAAUUCCUGGUGUAGCGGUGAAAUGCGCAGAUAUCAGGAGGAACACCGGUGGCGAAGGCGGAUCUCUGGGCCGAUACUGACGCUGAGG